CAAGGGGUGCAAUAAGAAGCUUGUAUUAAAAGCGGUCUUAAUUGCUGAGAAUUUUUACCCUUAAUACCUGAAACGGAUAAUGCCGGCGUAGGAAUGGUUAAUAUU
rnacentral:ncRNA from 1 species